AGUGAACGCUGGCGGUAGGCCUAACACAUGCAAGUCGAACGGCAGCACAGUAAGAUCUUGCUCUUACGGGUGGCGAGUGGCGGACGGGUGAGGAAUACAUCGGAAUCUACUUUUUCGUGGGGGAUAACGUAGGGAAACUUACGCUAAUACCGCAUACGACCUACGGGUGAAAGCAGGGGAUCUUCGGACCUUGCGCGAUUGAAUGAGCCGAUGUCGGAUUAGCUAGUUGGCGGGGUAAAGGCCCACCAAGGCGACGAUCCGUAGCUGGUCUGAGAGGAUGAUCAGCCACACUAGAACUGAGACACGGUCCAGACUCCUACGAGAGGCAGCAGUGGGGAAUAUUGGACAAUGGGCGCAAGACUGAUCCAGCCAUACCGCGUGGGUGAAGAAGGCCUUCGGGUUGUAAAGCCCUUUUGUUGGGAAAGAAAAGCAGUAGGUUAAUACCCCGCUGUUCUGACGGUACCCAAAGAAUAAGCACCGGCUAACUUCGUG
rnacentral:rRNA from 1 species